GAGGAAAGUCCGGACUCCACAGGGCAGGGUGAUGGCUAACGGCCAUCCGUGGCGACACGCGGAACAGGGCAACAGAAAGCAAACCGCCGAUGGCCCGGCGCAAGCCGGGAUCAGGUAAGGGUGAAACGGUGCGGUAAGAGCGCACCGCGGCGACGGCGACGUUCGCCGGCACGGUAACCUCCACCCGGAGCAAUUCCAAGUAGGCAGGCGCGCAUUUUCGGAUGCAGGACGGGGCCCCCGUCUCGUCUGCGGGUAGGAAGCUUGAGCGCGUCAGCAAUGGCGCGCCUAGAGGAAUGGCUGCCAC
rnacentral:misc_RNA from 1 species